CUGCAAUCAACUCACCUGAACAGGUUUCUUUUCUGCUAGGAGCAGACAUGCAAGACUGCAAACAGCAGCUUUCUUGGGAGGGCCAUGGUUUACAUGGGUUUCCCUAAGGGAGCCUGGAGACAGUU
ensembl:snoRNA SNORA70 Small nucleolar RNA SNORA70